GCUUACUUAUUCUUAGCUGUUAAAGAUUCAACAUCUUUACAGUGGAGACACCAUUUGCUAACGUAUACCUAUCUAUCAUCUUUUAUUCGACAUCUCUUACCAUGUUAUUAUUCUUUGGUGCUGAAAAGUCGGAUUCCAAUAUCCACCACUUUGUGUUGCUGUCGGGAACCAAUAAUGUUCAUCUUCUUGUCUUAUCUACACGUGUCACAUUCUAAAGAUUUCUAACAAGUGAAAGAUGACUAAUCUGAUCAAACCCACAAAACGUGGUCGUUUAAUUAGCAAAUAAUGCUGAUGAAAAGUCUCCACUUGUUCUCUUCCUCGAUUCUCCACCGAUUUGCUUCUCGCAGCAUGUUUUGUUUUCAAUUAAUUAAAGUUAUAAUUGGUUAAAUAGAUUGUAGAUUCGUUAAUAACCGGUUCUUAACUCAAAAGCAUCUAUCUUUUUCCCAUUUUUCUGGCUUGAUUGGUAUUAGAAUUCGAAAUGGGCCAGUGAACUUAAAUGAGCCAUUGAAUUUUAAGAGACCCAAGUAAGUGAGAUCCUUGCUAGCUGAGUUUCUAUCGGUGUAUUUGAUUAUGGCUAUAAAAGUGAAAGACAUUUUAGAACGAGUUAAACUGAUAUCUCUCAACCAAGGAGGAGCCUACUUCAAUACUCAAGGACAAGAUUCAUCUGUUAUUCUCCGUGUAAAAGAAGAUCAUGAUGGUGCAGGGGCUUCAGGAAGCUCUGUUUCUGCUAUUAACCUUGUGAGAUUAUAGCUUCCACAGUCUCCCGGCAGUCUUCGAGUUGAGGUUAAGAGAUGGCGGUACCGCUGAUUUGCUGCUCUUCAGAUACUAUCUUUGUUCAGUCGAGAAAACAAGUUGUAUUGCUCGGUUCUAAGUCUUCUCUAGCGAUCAACAACAUGCUUUCCGCAGCAUACUCUGUUUAUGAUCUCCAAAGCCGGUCCUAGGCAAAACCGAAUGAAUUUUUUAAAAAAAUUACAUAGACAUAGGUUUCUAAAAUUAUUUAAAAAAAAUAAAAAUUGAAAUCUUUACUAAAUGGCCUAAAGUCUCCCAAAAUCUAUGGGCAAGCCCUGGUCAUCUUAAUAAAACAGUUAGAGGCUUAAACUGAUUCCAGUUUUCAGCUCAACGGGCAGUAAAUUUGUGAUUUUUUUGUGGGUGUUUUUGCUGAGAAGGUGAUUCAAACAGAUCCUUCAUGAGAUGAGAUGGGAUUCUAGGAAGAGUAUAAGAGUAAUGUAGCUGAGAUGGCGAAGGGAAACAAAAACUCCGAGAAAGUUGUGACUCUUGCUUGUCAACACUUCGCUUGUAGUACUGUCUUUGAUUCUUCUUCUCUUACUCGCUUACUCUCCAAGUAAUAAAGAGAUUCCAUGUUUUAAUGGUUGCUUGUGUUGUAAAGAGCAUGAUCAACGUUUUGGUUUCUGUAAAGUUAAUAAAUAAAGGAGGCGUCUUCUGGUAAUGGCAAUGUGGAAACUUAACCGAGUUUUGUAAGUAUGUGAUUUGAUUUGUGAAUAUGGAGUUGCUCAGACAGCCAUCAUUGUUUUGGCAGGUUCAAAACUCAAAAGCAAGCAUGUGACAAAUUCGACCCUUCGUUCUACCCUCUUUUUAAGAAAUGAAGUGCAAGCUCAGUAAUACAAGCUUAUAUAUAUACCCAUAAAGACAUUCAGUGAGCAACAAGGCAUGUCAACAGUUAUCAAGGUGGAGUAUUUUGAAUUCAACUUGGUAAGAUUAGAUAUCUGCUUUGUUUAUAAAAUCUCUUCUGUCUCUUAUAGAAACCUCUCGUGCCACAUAUUUGUUACCAAUAUACUAUUUAUGUUUCGUAAUAUAUGAUGUCUUAAAAUAUAAGAUGUUUUAUAAUUGGUUCAGUCACUUUUUUUUUCAUCUGUUAAAUUCAUUGAUAGACCUAUGAAAGGUCAUAAAGGUGUUACAAAUCCAACCACCAUCUGACAACUAAACCCAGAAACCACAACAGUUCAAGAUUACAUCCCCUCAAAAAAUACUUCAAGACCAAUCUAUACAAACCAUUGAUCUACAGCCAAAAAAACAUUCCAAAAUAAGUUCCUAAAUAAUUGGUUCAAUCACUUUAAUUGAUAUUUUUGAUGCUUUUAGAUAAAAAAUAAUUUUUUUAGUCUUUGUGUUUUAGGCGUAACAUUUUAUAAUUUAAAAUAGAUGGAGUAUAUAUAUUUGUUUAAAGGUGUAUUACCGGGGAUAUAACCAUGCAAAGUUUUUUUUUUUUUGGCUUAGAUAACAUUCAAAGUUCUUAAUAUGUUAUCAAAAUCAAGAAAGUAAAUCUUUGUUCAUUCUAGCUGAAUACUAUUGAUUUUUUCUCGAGUUGUGGAUGCAGAAAUCAUGAGGAAUGGAGACGCUAGUAGAUGCUUGUGUCAGCCCAGAAGAGUGUAUUUUGUUAAUCGUGGUUAUUAUCAUAUUAUGCUCAUUGGCUCUUUGUUAAUUUUGAGUAAAAACCCUUAAAAGGGUAAGAGUCUAAUGAAGAAUGAGACAGUAGACCUAUAAUGAAAAAAAAAAAAAAAUUGGCGUCAUCUCAUCAUGAGUUACUGACUGAAGGAAGGCCAUGACGAUGAUGAUGGAGUGUACAAAACCACUCACGACAGUUAAGAGUAGAUUUGAGUUUAAAGCCCUACCCAAAAUGGAUCACAGUCAAUUGAAGAGUGAGAAAAGUAAUGAAGAGGCCUUUAGUUCUGCGUCAUCUCAUCAUAACUUACUGACAGAGGGAGAUGGAGUAUACUAAUUAGUACCAUCGUGAUGAUGAUACGAUAAAGUUAAACUUUACCAACCUACUGACACAGUUAAAAGGCAUGAGUCUGAGUUAACAAGCCAUUCGGUGCAUGCACGCGCGUUAUUAGAUAAAGCUUAGCCACUUGCUCGGCAAAUGUUCACGAGAACAAACCUUGAUAAGUGAGAUAACAUUUUUCUUUUGUAAACUGAGAUAACAUUGAAUCUGAUGAUAUGAUUUACUAUUUUAUAUGAAUGACAUUUCAAACAUUUUAACCAAUCGUUUAAUGUUCUUAAAUCAUCUUCAGAUUCACCAUACGUCAGUGUCUCAUUUUGUCUUGAUUCAAGAAACGCCCGUGAUUUUCAUUUCAAUUCUCCAUUAGUGUCCAGAAAAAGCAUGUGUUCUCGUUUUCGUUUUCGUUGUCUCGAAUGGCCGACAGGAAGAAAAAACAACUUCGUCCCCGGAUAUACCACACACAUACAAACGUAAAUGUUGUAAUUACACUGGGUUUUUCAAUCUCAUAAAACUAAACCAAUUAAAACCUUAGACCAAAAAAAAAACCAAUUAAAAGUUUAAAACCAAAUAUAACCGAAUAAAUCGAAUGGAUGUUAUUUUAAAAAAACAACAGAAUAUAAAUAUUGUUCAGUGUACGAACUGAUCAAACCAAAUAAUUCGACGAAGUCGAUUAAUUAAAACAUAUUAGUAUAUUUAUAUGUGAAUUUUAUAUAAAAUUAAAAAUAUAUACAUAAUUUAUUUUAUUAAUAUAAUAUUCAUACUUAAAACAUUUAUUUUAAUAUUUUUUAUUUUUUCAUUUUCAUCAAAUUAAAUAAACUAUUUUUGAAAAUUUUAUUGGUAAAUUUUUGUAUAAAAGAUAGUUAUUUAAUAAUAUAAUAAUAUUACUAUUUUCUUACAUUUAUUGUUAAUAGUUAAAGAAAACAGAUAAUAUUUUAUUUAAAAGUUAGAGCACUGGGUGUGAUAUAUAAAAAUCUGAUUUCUAAUCAUAUAAACUAAAAUUUGUUAUAACAGAUAAAUAAAAUUAUGGUUUUUAAUAUAAAACUGAAUAAAUAGAAAUUUUUAGUAUAUAAACCCAAUCAAACUAAAGUAGAUUUUUUGUGUGAUCCAAACUAAAAUAGAUAAUGAUACUAAAAUCGAACAAACAAUACAAUUACGCCCAACUUGACAAUGUCUUAAACUACCACCAAACCAAGGCAAUAUACUUUUUCUUUUCUAUUCAUAAAAUAACGUCACACCUGCCAUAUCUAAUCCAUGUCUGCAAGACAAACAAAAAUUUGAAUUCCCCCAUAAAGGAAGGAAAGAGAGAGCAAGUAAA